rnacentral:tRNA from 1 species
CCCCUGGUGGUCUACUGGUUAGGAUGUGGCGCUCUCACCGCCGCGGCCUGGGUUCGAUUCCCGGUCAGGGAA